AGGACCAGCCCCUGGCCUUGACAUGCAAUCUACUCCCUGGUCGUCUUCCAGAAGAUCCUAGGAGCCUGACUCUCAGAGCCAAGGAGGAAAAAGAAUCCUGACAUGAAUAUGGAACGGAAAGAAACCGAUUCGAAGCGGAAAUCCCUUCAGCACAACGCCGCUUGGAGAACCAGAUUCGGCUUCAGUGGCCGGGACUUUUAUGGCUCUGAUUAUUUAAUCUGGGCUCCGGACUCCAACGUGGAUCCCAUCAGAGUAGAAACACUGUUCUUGGUCCCAUUCCCCGCUCCCCGACUGCCAGACCUGGGUCCACCCCCCACCCCCCCAAAAAAAAUUUUUUUUUUUUUGGAAGAACAAUCAGUGUCGAGCAUUUGGGAUUGGGAUGAUCCGUUAUUAAGGACUCCAUUGACCACGAAGUCACUUGGUCACCGAUGGCUUUUCUGAUCAGCGCGGAAUUUCUGUGCUUGUCGAGGGAUGCUUUGUCAGUAGUUCAGGAGUUCAGCAUGCGAGUAUUGGGCGUCCGAACUGAAGAUUAUUUCAGAGGGUCUGCCCGGGGAGAGGUUUGAAUCUGGAUGACGGAGCACGAGCGGAAAGUUCGAUUUGAUUUUUUUGGAGGUUUUGUUUUUAAAUGCCAAAGGAAGUCUUAAGAUUACAUUGGAUGGGUGGGGUGUACGGGGGCCCACCUUUUCAGGAAGGCUGCCCGCCAGGGGUAACGGAAAACAAAAUUUCAGUCCCACUGGUAGGCAUUUUCAUCCUUCUUCAGUGCCUCAGAGGACGCAGGGGGAAAUGGUAUCCGCAGAGCAGCAGGAGACUGAUGACAAAGGCGAGGGUGAUUUGAGGGUGGUUCUCAGGUCCGGAGGGCUGGGUCCAUUUCGAACCCUUCUCCUUCAUGCCCAUCUUAAAGCCCGGGGGCAGCUGGCUCUGGCAAGCGACGACUUUUUAUUGAGGCGCCUGGGUCGUGCCCUUCCCCGGCACGGAAACCAGAGUUCCACCGAAUGCCAUUCUGCCACCUUAGCCAGGCCCAGGCCCGGAGGCAGGAUUCUCCCCGAUCGGACUGGACUUUUCCUAGUCCCUGAGACCCUAACUUGUGAGGUUUUUGAGCAACGAUCACAAGUCAGGCUCUUGGGACCUAGGCGGAGUGGCCUCGUCGUCUCUGGGCCUCGCCGGCCGCUUCUCGGAGAGCUCCUCUGGUCGACCGGCACCCGGAUUUCCCUUCCGGCCCACCCUCUCCCAGGACACGAUCCCACAUGGCCCGCUGGGUCGACGGACUGAUUCCCCAAUUCCUGGCCGCCUCCUCCCGCCUCAGGUAGCGAUGUCCGUUUUCCAGAGAGCAUGUAAACCUGACGUGGCCGUUGCAGAACAGAACGAGCGGGGACCCUCCGCCCCUGUGAGGAGUGAUCAUUUGGCGGCUUUGGGACGCAGGUGAAAGGAGCUGGUCUUGCAGAACGUUUGCGCAGGUGAUUCCCGAGUACGCGCGCCGAGGCGAACAUGUGAGCCCUGGAGGGGGAUUCAUUUGCCCGGUCUCUGGAUUCAGUCGGGCUCCCGCAGGGCUGAUCUCAGUAGACAAGCCCGACGUUGCUUUUCUCCCUUCCUGUGGUGGGACUGGUCCUCUGUAAUAGCCGCCAGGGUGUCCCCAAUUGGUGGUAUUUAUUGAGCAUUUCCUGUGUGCGGAGAAUUCAUUCAUUCACUCAAUCAUAUUUACUGAGU